AAAGAUCUAAUAGACUUAGUCUAAUGUUUACAAAAAUAAUAAUUACAAAUAAUAUAAAGACUUCAUUACUGUCUAUAACUAACGCAUAGGAAUAAUUAAGUAUUAGUGAAGACAGAUUUAAAUAUAUCGGUAAGUCAUUGGCUAGCAUAUUAAUAAAAGAACUGACUACGGCUUAGUAUAAUGAUACUCGAGAGAUUCAUGAU
rnacentral:lncRNA from 1 species